AUGUCCCCCCAAGUGCCACCACGUCCCCUUGGGUGCCACCAACUGCCACCACAUCCACGUCCCACCAUCUCCCACCAUCUUCCAUUGUGUCCCACCAUGUUCCCCCCGAGUGCCACCACGUCCCGUGUCCCACCGGGUGCCACCAAGUGUCACCAUGUCCUCUUAGGUGCCACCACGUCCCCUUGGGUGCCACCAACUGCCCCCACAUCCCAUCUCCCACUGUGUCCCAUCACCUCCCACUGGGUGCCACCAUCUCCCACCAAGUCCCAUUGGGUCCCACCACGCCCCCUGUUCCACCACAUGCCACCGGGUGCCACCAAGUGUCACCACGUCCCCUUGGGUGCCACCAUCUCCCACCACAUCCCAUUGGGUGCCACCAUCUCCCACCAUCUCCCAUUGUGUCCCACCACCUGCUAUUGGGUGCCACCAUGUCCUGUGUCCCCUCAAGUGCCACCACGUCCCAUUGGGUGCCACCAACUGCCACCACAUCCCAUCUCCCACCAUCUCCCAUCGUGUCCCACCACCUCCCACUUGGUGCCACCAUCUCCCACCAAGUCCCAUUGGGUCCCACCACAUCCUGUGUCCCACCACGUGCCACCGGGUGCCACCAAGUGCCACCACAUCCCAUUGGGUGCCACCAACUGCCACCAAAUCCCAUGUUCCACCAUCUCCCAUUGUGUCCCACCACCUCCCCCUGGGUGCCACCAUCUCCCACCAAGUCCCAUUGGGUCCCACCAUGUCCCGUGUCCCACCACGUGCCACCGGGUGCCACCAAGUCUCACCACGUCCCCUUGGGUGCCACCACAUCCCACUGGGUGCCACCAUCUCCCACCACAUCCCAUCUCCCACCAUGUGCCACCAUCUCCCACUGGGUGCCACCGUGUCCCACCAGGUGCCACCAAGUGCCACCACGUCCCCUUGGGUGCCACCAUCUCCCACCAUCUCCCAUUGUGUCCCACCACCUGCUAUUGGGUGCCACCAUGUCCUGUGUCCCCUCAAGUGCCACCACGUCCCCUUGGGUGCCACCAACUGCCACCACAUCUCAUCUCCCACCACCUCCCACUGGGUGCCACCAUCUCCCACUGUGUCCCAUUGGGUCCCACCACAUCCCGGGUCCCACCACGUCCUAUCGGGUGCCACCAAGUGCCACCACGUCCCCCUCUUUCUGUCCCCAGACGACUUCCGCAUCUUCUGCGGGGACCUGGGGAACGAGGUGAACGAUGA
rnacentral:lncRNA from 1 species